CGUUUCUUUGCUGGCGACCGGCGCACGGUGAGUAACACGUAUCCAACCUGCCCUUUACUCGGGGAUAGCCUUUCGAAAGAAAGAUUAAUACCCGAUAGCAUAAUGAUUCCGCAUGGUUUCAUUAUUAAAGGAUUCCGGUAAAGGAUGGGGAUGCGUUCCAUUAGGUUGUUGGUGAGGUAACGGCUCACCAAGCCUUCGAUGGAUAGGGGUUCUGAGAGGAAGGUCCCCCACAUUGGAACUGAGACACGGUCCAA
rnacentral:rRNA from 1 species